rnacentral:lncRNA from 1 species
GCGAGGCAAAGCAAAGCAAGAUUGAUGCCUUACGAACGGCCAUGCCCGGGAGGGCUCGCGGUUCAAUGCAUAGAGCAGCCCAUUCUUCCCCAUUUCAGGUUCCCACACUGGACACCAAAGCAGGAGCUCAGAGCCAGGGCAGCAAGAAUUCAACCUUUGUUCAUCCUCCGAACACAAAUAAUCCACCACAUUCCCCAAUCUCUCCAACACAGGCCCUCGCACCUCGCCUACUCAAAAUCUUUCUGAAGGUGUCCCAGGCCCUUUGGACAGAGGAGCUGGAAUCAAAAGCAAGGCCAUAGCCUGUCACCAUGCAGUUUAUCAGCUGUCACUCCAUCUCAAUUCUGGGUGACGUGAGAUCAAUGGUGUAAAACUGCUCUCAGAUCUAUAGAGAAAUUUAUAACAUCAGGCUCCACCGUGUCUUGGCUGGUCCUGGGUCCCAGGGUUCUGAGGCAGAGGCUGCCAUGAAGACUUCAUUUCCAUUUCAAAAGUGGAUUGUGACCCACUUAAAGCAAGUGAGUUCAAGCUGUCAGAUGCAAAGGAAGACCUAAGUCAGAAGUCUUCUGCACUUACAGAACAAUGUUUUGAGGAGGAAGAAAAAAGACUAGCCAAUGAUUAAAAUUCUCUCUGCCUAGAAAAGGCUCUAGCGACCUGCCUUAAUUUCUUUUAAGUCAUGUGGGAUUUAUUAAUAACAAAACCCUAAAUUUGUAGCAACAUAUUUUAGGCUCUGAGACCAAUUAAACCAUCCAGUUUAUGUAACUAUACAACUCCUGCAUGUAGUUUAGGCACAGAUUUGUGGUUCUUCACUGAAGGUUUACUUCAUUACCCACAACCUCUUUUUCCCCCAUGAACUCUGUAAUCUCUUCCAAUUCUGCCUCAAAGUGCCCAAGCACCAAAAACAAGGUCGUAGGAACCCAGGCCACAUCCCAUAUCCCACACCCUCCAGCCAAAAGGCUCCAGGGAAAUUUUUAAUUUCUUCCUCACACACACUGAAUCCUUCGGGUGUUAAGGGAAACACCCCUGGGCCAUGGACAGCUGGAGAACAUCCCACUUC